UGAGGCCAGGCAGCUAAUGGAGCAAUUAGCUGCACCUGGUGACUGGGUGGGGGUGACUGGUCUGGUGAUGGGAAGGAGACUACACUGAGGGAUUCAAGCUGAGCAGGGAGCCAUACUGGGGGAGCCUGGGCUGCUGGGAGAGGGGCUCUCGAGAGUGCAGGUGCUGCUGGAGACGAAUGGGCAUCCAAGCUGCCUAGCGAAGCUGGGAGGAAGGCUCCCGGGAAGAUUUGAACCGGUUUCCAAUCAUUUAGGACAUUUGGGACAUCUCCAGCUAAAGGCUACGAGCAGAAGUAGAAGGACUAACUGAAUGUUUCCCAGUCCUGAUGUCACUGUGCGGGGGAAGAAAAAGUAGACAGCCUCAUUCUCUCUUCAAAACACCUCAGAUCGGAUGAAGGAGGUAGAGAGUCUCUGUACACAGCAAGUAUUGGCCACCUGUGAAAAAGUGCUUCAAACCUGCCUAUGGUGGAAGAUUACAUAGCAGAGCUCACUGCCAGUUGGAAACUGUAUCGUGUCAAAGGGAUGUCUUAAGAUGGGAUUUGAAGGAGAAUAAUGAAGGACGCGUGGCCUAUUGCUGUGCCACGCAGCAUGCACCUCAUCUUGUCCGAUCUCAGAAACUAAACAAUCCUGGGUUUGGUUCGUACUUGACUGGGAGACCGACUGCCUGGAAAUCCCAGAUGCUGUAGGCACGAGCCAAGAAAUCGUGGCCAAUCAGAGGACAACAACCUAUCAAUGUCAGGACCUGAUGGAGGUCAUACAUUGUACUUGGACACCAGAAAGAUGGACGCAGCACUAUGAGGCGACAUAGUCUUCCCAUGAUGGUAUCUAUGCAAGAGUUGGAGAUAAAAUGAGACAGAUGUACUGACCAUGGUUACCAAGGGAGCAGUUUCCUUAGCAAUGAGUAAAUGCCGAUUUGUACUGGGAGCAGUGCAAACCGUCUAGAACAGACUUUGCCAGCUUGCAACCUUCGUCAGCAAUAAAUAUCCACAACAUUGAACAGGUCCUGAACCUUGAACGCUAAGCUGUGGGAACCGGUUUUGCUAACAGACACUGGAAACCUGACCAGGGUAAACCCCUGCGAGGGAUGAACACCCUCUGCUCCGCUCAACAAGAGCCAAAAAUGACUGGGGUGCUAUUCUGGGAGCUGCGGAGCAUGCACACCGGAGCAGAAGGCAGCCAGCCCCUUGGAGGAUCAGCCCUCGGUGCUCAGUACUUCAUUCCCUUCCUCUCUGUUGGACAACCUUUCCACGGACAUAGUGCAGCAUUUGGGACCUUUUCAGAAAAAGAGACACCAAAAUGGAAUGUUUUCCAUAGCGAAAGAAAACAUGGUGGCAUCUGAAGGUAACUGGAAUGAAUGACAGAAAAAACUACAAACAAUUCAA